AACGAACGCUGGCGGCAUGCCUAACACAUGCAAGUCGAACGAGACCUUCGGGUCUAGUGGCGCACGGGUGCGUAACGCGUGGGAACCUGCCCUUAGGUUCGGAAUAACUCCCCGAAAGGGGUGCUAAUACCGGAUAAUGUCUUCGGACCAAAGAUUUAUCGCCUUUGGAUGGGCCCGCGUUGGAUUAGCUAGUUGGUAGGGUAAAAGCCUACCAAGGCGACGAUCCAUAGCUGGUCUGAGAGGAUGAUCAGCCACACUGGGACUGAGACACGGCCCAGACUCCGACGGAAGGCAGCAGUGGGGAAUAUUGGACAAUGGGCGAAAGCCUGAUCCAGCAAUGCCGCGUGAGUGAUGAAGGCCUUAGGGUUGUAAAGCUCUUUUACCCGGGAUGAUAAUGACAGUACCGGGAGAAUAAGCACCGGCUAACUCCGUG
rnacentral:rRNA from 1 species